AGUGAACGCUGGCGGUAGGCCUAACACAUGCAAGUCGAACGGCAGCACAGUAAGAGCUUGCUCUUACGGGUGGCGAGUGGCGGACGGGUGAGGAAUACAUCGGAAUCUACUUUUUCGUGGGGGAUAACGUAGGGAAACUUACGCUAAUACCGCAUACGACCUGCGGGUGAAAGCAGGGGAUCUUCGGACCUUGCGCGAUUGAAUGAGCCGAUGUCGGAUUAGCUAGUUGGCGGGGUAAAGGCCCACCAAGGCGACGAUCCGUAGCUGGUCUGAGAGGAUGAUCAGCCACACUGGAACUGAGACACGGUCCAGACUCCUACGGGAGGCAGCAGUGGGGAAUAUUGGACAAAGGGCGCAAGCCUGAUCCAGCCAUACCGCGUGGGUGAAGAAGGCCUUCGGGUUGUAAAGCCCUUUUGUUGGGAAAGAAAAGCAGCAGGUUAAUACCCCGCUGUUCUGACGGUACCCAAAGAAUAAGCACCGGCUAACUUCGUG
rnacentral:rRNA from 1 species